GUCAGGAUGGCCGAGCGGUCUAAGGCGCUGUGUUCAGGUCGCAGUCUCCCCUGAAGGCAUGGGUUCGAAUCCCACUUCUGACA
rnacentral:tRNA from 2 species